GUACCAUUUGGACAGGUUUGCACACUAUUUCUUGUCACUUUAGUGGUAUGCUAUUUUCACACAAAUUGUACUAUUUUCACACAAAUUGUACUGUUUCAGCAAAAGAAGACUUUGAGAAUUAUGCUGUAGAAACAGAUGUCUUUCCAGUUCUUAUAACUCGCUAACUACAGAGUAUCUAUAGCAUAACUGAAGAUUUUUCAAUUUGUCUUUUGGGGUUUGUAAGGUUCCACGUAGGAGUUCUAUAAGUCUUCAGUCACACUAUGGUGGUGCAAAGCAUAGAAAGAAAGAGAAAGCCCUGAGACCCAAGACGGUCUAUUGUCCUUCUGUUCCAGUCCGAACUUCAGUGAAGUAUGAAGCACAGAGACCAGGUAAAUGAAUGUUGAUAAGCUACUGUCCUUCUUUCAAGUGUAACUUUGAAACCAGUGGGUUUUGGUUUAAAGAUGACCAAAGCAGGUGGCUGAUUGUGGUUUUGGAAGAAGUAGUCCUAGUUACCAGACAUUUGGACCAUUGAUUUUUCUUCUGUGCAUUGGUUAAUCUAUGUGAGAAAGAUCUUCAGAGAGUAUGAAGUUACAAGUAUUUUCACAGAACAACUUUCAAAUUUGAGACACAGAUUCUGUCUUCCUGAUUAUCUGAUAACAUCUAGUAUCAAUGAAUCCAGCUGUUUGUUUUGGUUUUGUUGUAUUUGUUUUGUUUUAGCUGGUGAAGUUUUCCCACAAAAUUUUGUAGCAUGCUUGUGUGUGCACAUACAAUACAGUGGAAGUUUGACAAAACAGAAGUGUACAAACCAAGAACAGUAUGGGUUGUUUCUUACCAGGAUGAUACUAAAACAAUAUUUACUUUUAUGUUAGGAAGCAGGAAGAAUAUGGCCAUUACCUUGUGGAAACCUUAAACAUUUUCUGUGUGGAUCUUUCCAUAUUAAGUCCAGAAGACUGCAUGCCUUUCACUGUCAGCUUGCAAACAGCCAGCUCACACCGAGAGCUACUGCACAGGCACACAAAUGCACGAGAACUGCAUAAUACAUUUAAGUAUUGGUAAAAAAAAUCUGUCUAUGGAAAUUAUGUGGUACCAACUUGUUACAUGUCAGUUCUGUUGCACUAUGCUACUGCUGUGUCACCUCAGACAAAAAUAAAACCCAAAACAACGGAGAAUA